rnacentral:tRNA from 1 species
GGGGAUUUAGCUCAGUGGUAGAGCGCUUGCCUAGCAAGCGCAAGGCUCUGGGUUCGAUCCCCAGCUCUG